ACUAAAGACGGGGACCGCAAGGCCUGUCACUUCCCGAUUGGUCCGCGGCCUAUCAGCUAGUUGGCGGGGUAAAAGCCCACCAAGGCUACGACGGGUAGCUGGUCUUAGAGGACGACCAGCCACACUGGAACUGAGACACGGUCCAGACACCUACGGGUGGCAGCAGUCGAGAAUCUUUCACAAUGGGGGCAACCCUGAUGGAGCGACGCCGCGUGGAGGAUAAGGUCUUCGGAUUGUAAACUCCUGUCAUGCGCGAACAAGGUUGCAGAGUUAAUAACUUUGCAAAUUGAUGGUACCGCAAGAGGAAGAGACGGCUAACUCUGUGCCAGCAGCCGCGGUAAUACAGAGGUCUCAAGCGUUGUUCGGAAUCACUGGGCGUAAAGGGUGCGUAGGUGGCGUGGUAAGUCAGAUGUGAAGUCCGGGGCUCAACCCCGGAAUUGCAUCCGAUACUACCGUGCUAGAGUAC
rnacentral:rRNA from 1 species